rnacentral:lncRNA from 1 species
GACCAACUGAACCAGGAAGUGACUAGAGACUAUGGACAUGCUGGAAACAUGGAGAUUGAUUGUCAGUUUCAGCAGCUGUUAAUUUGCAUUAUUGCUGGUGGGUGACACUCUUUUGAAUGUAAGCAUUGCUUUCACUUGUAUAUAUUGUCUGUACUGCUUGUAUUGUGUAGGACAUUAGCACUGAGGAAGGGCUUGUUGCCCGAAACUUUUAUUUAUAUUGUGUCCUCUAAUAAACCGCAGUAGCACCUGGGUGUGCACUACCUACUUGAUGCGAAGACGUUUUUUGUCUAUCUGCUUGUUACAUUGUUGGAACUACAGUAAGGAGACCCUGCAGCUCGGAUUUAACUUUUCAUUACUGUGUUCUUUACCUUUGAUAAUCGGUGGGCAUCACUGAUGCCUCUGCCUCAUCUUGUGCAUAGUAACAUUAACGAAGGUAAUUUGAUCCACAUAUGGUGGAAGUGCACACCCAUUAAUACAUUUUGUGAAGAAGUAAUAAGGAUAAUAUAUCAACUAACGGAAAUAAAAUUACCUCUUAAGCCUGAAGUGGUCUUCGUAAACAUAAACUGGCCACAUAUGACAAAAAGAACAUGAAUGUUAAUAUUACACAUCAUCACGGCAGCUAAAUUACUUUUAGCACGUAACUGGAAAGCAGGGAUAAUUCCACGUACCCAUGAAUUGAUAAAACAAGUUAUAUGGCAAGCAAGAAUGGAAAGGGGUAUUCUGGUGAAUUUAGGAGACAGAUACAAGCAAAUAGAAGACUGGGACACAUGGAUAAAUAAAUUGGACAAUAUAUCAGGCCUUUUAUGCUCUUUGUAGUGAUUUCUCUUUCUUGCUUCUUUUUUUUGUUUCUUUUAAUUUAUACUUUCCUUCCAUCAGAAUUCAGAUAACAAUAACCAACAGAGGUAGAGCAUACGCUCAGUUGCAGCGUAGGGAAGUGUUAGACCAGAGGAGGAGUGAAGAAGGGAAGGGCAUACAACCCCAAAACGGGCAGUAAAACAGAAAAAUAAAACAUUGAUGCUACACAGGAUAUAAGAGGUUCUCUCUCUCUCCAAGAACAGAGGAAUAAUGCAAAUAGACAAGAACUUACACUAAGAAUUAAUUAUUAGGAUAGGGAAGGGGUGAAGGGUGAGGGUUGGGGGGUGGAGGGGUUCCAGGUUUUUCAAGAUUAAUAACAUUUCAAGAUAUAUUUAUUUUAUACUUAUAAUAUUGAUGGUAACAUAGUACCAAGGCCUGAACUAACUAAGCAUCGCAAAACUUACAUAAGGCAGGUACACGUCUGAAAUAGCAUUGGUGUGCAUACUUUUGUAAUGUAUAUUCAUUAAAGUGACUAAUUAACUUAUCAGGAAUUCAAAGUGGGUUAUCACUAAAGCAAGAAUUGUGGGGAAUUCACAGUAGAUUUCACAUUUAAAAUAGAAGUGGAAAUAAAUCUCCAAGCAGUGGCGGAUCCGGGGGGGGGGGCAACGGGGCAAUUGCCCCCCCGAGAAAUCCUCCAGUCUCCCUCCCCUGCCAGGACAUGCAGGUGCCAGCCCUGCAAUGUGCCUGCGGACCGGAGGGGAGAUCAGAGCUCUCCCUCCCCGGUCCGCAGGCACUGUGCUGACAGCCGGCAGGGGAGGGAGAGGGAGGACCCGGGAGCUCAGUCUGCAGCUCCUCCGGGUCCUCCUCUCGUGAGAUUUGGAGCGUUGCCGCGGUUACCACAGCAACGCUCCAAAUCUCGCGAGAGUGAACUCUAGCCCGGGAGCGCGGCCUAGAGUUCACUGUAACCACUGAGACCACCAGGGAAUCCCCCACCGGACCACCAAUGAAUCGCCCACCGGACCACCAAUGAAUCGCCCACCGGACCACCAGGGAAAUGUCCCUCCUCCUCCCCAGUAAAGGUAAGAAGGGAGGGGGGACAUAAUGAUUAUUUUUAUUAAACUAAAUUUAAAAAAAAUAUAUUUUUUAAAAAGCCCCCCUACCCUUACACACACACACUCUACACACAUACACUGAUCCCCAUACUGCCCCCCAUACACCCAUACUGCCCCCCCAUACACACACUGCCCCCAUACACCCAUACUGCCCCCCUAUACACACAUUGCCCCCAUACUGCCCCCAUACACUGCCCCCCCAUACACACAUACAUUGCCCCCCAUACUGCCCCCCCCACACACACCACCCCCCCAUACACACAUACACUACCCGAUACACUGUCCCCCAUACACACAUGCUGCCCUGCCCCCAUACACACACUCUACACACAUACACUGCCCCAUAUACACACACUGCCCCCCAUACACACACUCUACACACAUACACUACCCGAUACACACACACUGCCUCCAUACACUGCAAUACUCACACACACACUGCAACUGUUACACACACAUACUGUCCCACACAUACACUGCCGCCCUCACACACACACUGCGCACACACUGCACCACUCACACACACCACUGCUCCUAUGCCCUACUACUGCCCCAUUUCCCAGCAGACCUCAGGUAAGUUGUCAAACUUUUCUUAAACGGUUUGACUACUUACUCUGGGACGGGGUCCCGGCACUAUUGACACCAUAACCACUACACUGAGCUGUAGUUGUUAUUGUGUCUGGAUUAUUUCUUUAAAUAAUCUACAAGUGCCCCUCCCGAGAUCAGGCUCUGGAUCCGCCACUGUCUCCAAGUCAACUAUGCUUCUAGUUUGGCUAAUAAAGUUUAAAUUCAUUUUGAUUUCCUGUCCUUCAAUUCUCACUGUAGUAAAUAACACUGAUAGGAAAUUAAACAUUUUAAGCAAAGUGGUCAAAUUGAAAACAUUACUGAAUAUCAAAUAUUGUGUCCUGAUAGUUAAAAUUAUUUAGAAUAGAAUUAUUAUUUAGACAUUAAAUUUACUUAGAAUUUCCUAAAAGAUUCACACAUUAAUGACUUAUUUUGACAGUCCAUACUGGUUUCUGAAGAAACUGGUUCAGAUUAAGGGAAGUUUAAACUUGAUCAUGGUAAUGGCACACCUACAAUUUCUGCAUGCAUUCACAGAGAGUGUAGAGUGAGUAUGUAUAGGGCCAUGUCUUAGUAGUAACCUGGCCACAGCACUGGCCUUUUCUGGAAGUCACAGAAACAGCACAUUGCAUGGUACAAGAUAGAUGAGACUAGUGUUUAUAAUCAUGGUGGGUGUCCACUCAAGGAGAUCAGACAGAACAGGUACAUUUUUGUCAAUGUACUUCUUGUAUUUGGUUUAACUCCUUCACUAUCAACAAUAGGAACACACGUUGGAUAAUUUCCAUGCAUGUCUUUAAAAGAGCAGCCAAUAACGCCUUCAUUAACAAGCAAUUUUUUGAUUUAAAAAAUAUAAGCAAAACAUUUAUUUGAAGCAAGAUGUGCAUAGAUAGAAUAGAAGCAAAUCAUAACUGGGCCAUUUUCUGCAUAGAUUGCUUUGCAGACAAACAUAAGAAUUAAAAAGAUAUACAGUUAAACAAUUUUUAUUUUUUACUUAUUCGUUCAUCUUUUAUAAAAAUAUUUGGGUAAUUAAAAGCUUUACAAAAAACAGAGAGGUCCCCUGGGGAGGGAACUAUUGGUGUGUAAAGGGACCCUUUUUGUAGACAAAAAAGCCCAGAAAUGUCCAAUGGAAAUAAAGUCCAGCGGACACAAAUGGGUCACUUUUAAGGAUAAAAGAAAAAAAUGACAAUAAAGUACAAUUUUAUUAAAGAUACGUCAAGACAUAAAGAUACAACAGAGCCAAAAAGAGGCUCCACGGCUAUAAAGGAGGAGAAGAUAUGUACUGUACUAGUCAGGAAUUGGCUAGAGGGAUAGAAGUGGGAGUAGGGAGUGCAAUACGUCAGUGUCUUGGACAAGUCCAGUAUCCACUGCAUAUAGCAAAUAAUGUGACCAUGAUGGUUAAGCAAGGAAACUAUAAAGAAACUCCUCAGUAGCUUGCACCAUCAAUAUACAAGGUCAAAUAAGAAAAUGCAGGGAAUAGAGACAAUGUGUCUAUUGGGUGUAAAAGACUGUUUCCCUGUGUAACAAUAUGUCCAACAAUAUAUAUGUGGACUAUUACAGAUUAUGAUCUGUUAGUUACACAUAAAUGAAAGAAGGAAACAUUCAUCAACCUUCUUGUAUCUAUUUUAGUAGUAGUUCGACUUCAUGGUCGCUAACUAAAGAAAUGUAUUUAAAAAGAAGGUUUGAUGAAAAAAGAAAACAAUGGUUCUAUACCCUAUGCCUCCAAAAAUCUCCCAGUACUCCCCUAAUAAAGUUACCUAGCUCCCUCUAUAAGCGUCCCUAAUAGAAUAUAUCGUUGCUUAAUAAUCCCCCAUAAUAAUCUGAAAUCAAAUCACCAUAAAUGCUGAUAAACUUGUGCAGUGAAAAAAAAUUAAAAGCAAAAGUAAACCGAUGCACGUUUCAGCGCUACUAUAGGUCCUUCGUCCGGGGCGUUCCAAAUUAAAAGCUUUAGACAGUAUACAGUGUCUUUAAAUCUUGCAAUAUUUCACACAGGAUCUGAAAUGUUAGCAUAAAAACAACAUUUACAUUUUUCUCACAUACAAUAGGUGUGACAAAAUAUAUAUAAAUAAAAAUUGGUCAAAUACUUUGUAAGGUCCCUAAAGGCACCUGAAUGUUGUAACAAUGCCCACACACAAUAAAUACAGUAAAAUCAUAUAUUUCUAUAAUAAAGGUAUUUAAAACUGCUAUAGCACUCUUUAUCAGUCUCGGCUAAUGUAAUGCUGAUGUUGAAUGGUAUAGACCAUUCACUUAUUUCCCCUGCCCCCCUCACUGUAAGAAUGCAAUCACCCAGUAAAACUUCCUGUAUCUAUUUGAUUGUGAGCUUUCAUUUUCAGCAACUUUGCAUUCAUUAUAUCAGUGACUAGUGUCUUAUGGUAGAGAAGUUUGUUCCUCUACACUAGGCUGGUAAUUAUAACUAGAGUAUAAAUGAGGGUGGGUAAGGCUUUAUGGACUAAAUUUUAUACUACAAAAUACAUGAAAAUAAAAACGUUUAUACUCAAUUCUGGUAUUGAUGGGAUUAACCAUUGUUAAACCUUUAUUUACCAAAAUUGCGUAUCAAUUAUUUCAAAGGUAUGCUCCUAUAAAUCAAAAUCGAGUAUACUAGAUUUUUGGAAUUGAAAAUUAAAUUAAGUUUUAUGCAAAUUUCCAUUGUAGAUCAAGCACUAAAUGUCAAACAGAACAAGUCCUCCUCCCUAAAUCCAUGCUUCACUAUCCCACUCAUGGCAAAUCUGGGCAAGAGCAGGGCCAGACAACAUAAACAUGCCAGUCAAUAUUUUGGAGCCUUUCUACAGCCAGCCAGCCAGCCAACCAACCAGGUAUGAGGCUUGCAGCAAAGGAUCACAUGUCAUUGUGAGCCUGCAGACACAUGAAUGUUGCUAGAGAGGUUUUCAUCCAUGCGGCCAGGGGCAGCAAAGCCUUCAAGAGCUCACAUUACCUUUAGAGGGAGCUCUGUCCCUCUACAGCCACAACAGCACAAGCAGUGGUGAGAGUGCAGUCGUGACUGAAGCAGAUAACACAAUGUACACUUACUGGCUAGACCCAGGGAGAUGCAUGUGUAGAAAUGUAGACAUCUUCAGUAUACCUGAGCAUGCUAUCUCUCCACAGUGCCCCACCUACUCCUCCCAGGAAGAAAGGGGCACGGUAAUAUUGACUAAACAUGGCACCCUAUUGUAUGUGAAUAGCUCAUAAAGCUGGCUUAGCAUUAUGGGAAACGUAGUACCCAUAAUCAUCUGCACUGUGCAUGCUAUCUAUCUAUGGGAUAAGUCACUGAUUGCUUACAUUCCACAAUACGGCAGUUGGCGACUUAAUGGAACCACAUUGCCUAUCAUAGGAGAGAUUUUGGCGACGUUUAGUGGGAUAUGAAUGGAAUUGUGUGUGCCUAUGUCUGUCUGUGUGUAUCCAUGUGUCUGGGUCAGUGUGUUUCUGUAAGGGGUGCCAGAAUGAGCCCAAAACAAAACAUGAUGAACCCAACCUUAAUAGAGAUGUGGGGAUAUUUCAUGGCAUAUCAUUGCUUUUGUGCAUUAUAUCCCCUCCUCUAUACCCAUGAACUAUGUGCUGCUAAUGCUCUUCAGAAUAUGAAUUCACUUACUGCAUAG